CAUACCAGACCAAAUUCAUGUUAAAUUAUCAAUGUUUGUCCUGUUAAGAAGAUAUACUUUUUAAGUAAAUGGAAACUCCAAUCUAGUUCACUGAAUUUAUGAAAAGGCAAGAGCAGAUCCGGAUUUCUCUCUCUCUCUCUCAGAGUGUUGCCAAAUCGGUGUAACUUACAUUAAAAAAAAUAAAGGGGUUUCGGUCAAGGGCUACCGCUAUUUUUAGAGCGACCCUGAACACUAGCGACAGCGAUCACCGCAACACCGGCACCAGAACAUGUACAGACUGUUCAAUCGAGUGGGGAAGAUCCCCAGGGCUUUUUGUAAAUUUCAUAUAAAGUUGCAGAAAUGACAUUUUUUAUCUUUGUUUAUUUUUUUUACUUAUUCAAUUGUAAGAAAUCAGAUACUAUUUAUAUGUAUUUCUAAAAAUAAAAUUGAAAAAAAAAUAAUAAAUCCAUUACGAGAUUCGAACUGGGUACAUGUUAUCGUGAGUUUCAUAGACAUCUCUAACGAUUACGUAACAGUGUUUUAAUCUUCACACUCUUGUUAUUUCACACUCUCAAAUAAAUGAAGUUAUGUAAAUCAAUUUUGUGUAGCCUAUGUUUCAAAAUAUUAUCUGUAUUUUGCACCAUUUACAAAUGUAAAAUAGUAUUGUUAAAAAUUCAGAAGUUUUUGAAUUUGUCAGCACUUGGAGAUUAUUUUUCUCGUGCCGUAGACCGACUGAAGAAGAAAAAAAAGGGUUGACGCAACAGAUUAUGAGAUACAGAUGAAACAUGCAGGGAACCAUGUAAAUGAUUCUGAAAGUGGCUACCCAGGUGCUGUUUAAGGAAGCUUGUAAUAGGAGUGGAAAACCACCCAAAAACUAUGUGUCUCAAAAUGCCAGUAGAGACAUAGAAAGAAAAGAGGAACUAGCUGGGAUAUCAUUAUGAAGAACCUAACCUCCUUGGAGUCAAACUAUAUUCAGAGGGAAUGCAGAUACUGAGGCCCCCAAGCUCAUCUAGGAAGUCGGGAAGAAAAAAGCGAGCCAAUGUUCAGUGCCACACUUGGACCACUGCAGAAAAGGCAGCUUUGUAAAGACAAUUUGAGACUUUCAUCAAACUAGGAAAAACUCUGGCUCAGGUUGACUGUCUAAAAUCCAUUUGGAAGGAGAAAUCGCUGUCCAGUUUAACAUGGUGUCGUGGAAAGUUUGCUGUUAAAAAAAUUACUUCCUGGCAGAGGUGUUACAAAGAGUUAAUCCAAUUUUUAUGCCCCCUCCAUUUGAACGAGAGGGGACGUAUAUAUUGUUUUACAUGACUAAUUCGGUCUGUAGAGCAAAUCUUGUCUGCUCAAUAUCUAAUGAAUUCUUUUGCUUGACUGUUUCCAAACUUGGUACAAUGAUUGCCCCUAGAUAGUGAAUGAACCAUAUUAAUUUACAGGUCACAGGGUCAAGGGUCAAACUGGACACAGUAAGAUAUUGUCUGUUCAAUAUCUUGAGAACGCUUUCCUGACAGACAUCAAACUCGGUAUACUGGUUUCUUUUAAGAAGUAGGUGGUUUCUUUUAAGAAGUAGAUGGUUUCCUUUAAGAAGUAUAUGUCCCAUAAUGUCCCAUAUUCAUUUUGAAGUCACAAGGACAAAGGUCAAACUGUACAUAAUAAAAUAUUGUCCACUGAAUAUUUAAAGAACCAACCCUUUACCUGACAGUUACUAAACUUGGUACAGCGGUUGCCCCUAGAGAGUAGAUGACCCCUACUGAUUUCCAGAUCCCAAGGUUGAAGGUAAAAUUGGACAUAGUAAGAUACCGUCUGUUCAAUAUUUGAGAACCAUUCGCUUGACAGACAUCAAACUUGGUUCACUAAUUUUCCUUAAGAAUUAGAUACCCCAUGGAUUUUGAGGUCACAAGGUCAAGGGUCAAACUGGACAUGACAAGAUAUUGUCUGCUCAAUAUAUUGAGGACUCUUUGCUUGACAGAUAUCAAAUCAGGUACACUUGUUCUACCUAAGGAGUAGAUGACUCCAUUUGAUUUUGAAGUCACAAGGUCAAUGGUCAAAAUGCUACGGACAUAGGUAUUGUCUACACAAUAUCUUGAGUUUGCGUUUCUUGACAGACAUCAAACUUGGUACACUGACACAUCAUAAGUGUAGAUAUCUAGUAUUCAUUUUAAGGUCAAUGGUCAAACUACUCUGGACAUCAGAUUUUGUCCAUUCAGUAUCUUGAGAACCCUUGUUUGACAAACAUCAAACUUGGUAGUCUGGUGCCGCCUAAAGAAUAGAUGGCUCCCAUUGGUUUUAAACUCUCAAGGUCAAAGGUCAGGACUCAAAUAACUGGUUAUUUGAAAAUAUCUGCUCAGUACCUUUAGAGAUCACAUAUAAUGGUUGCCUCUGACUAAUAGAUACAUUGUAACUUUUGCUACAGACAUUCUAAAUGAUCAUUUUCAAUAUUGUAAUAUGGAGGGCAUAUAUGUUUCUUAAAUCUUUCUUGUAAAUGGUUUUGAUACUAGUUUUAUAUACAAGAUGUAUUAUCAGCAUUUGUCAUUCAUUGUACACCAUACAUUGGUUCAUUCAAAAUUGAUAAAUAUAUAAUCAACAGCAGUACACAUGAAAUAAUUCUCCAUCUAUAUUUUGAAUUGAACAAAAAGUUUAAUGGUAUUCCAAGGCCUUAUAUUCAUGUGCGGUUGAAAGACUGAAUGAAUAUACUAAGAUAAUAUAACAGUAUUUAACUAAAACUAAUUGCAGUUUAACACUAAUGUACUUAUAAUGUAAUUGAUAGUACCAUGCUCUUACUUGUAACUUGUUUUCAUUUAUAUUCAAUAGAUAUUUCAAGUUUGAUAGCUAACUCAAAUUUCAAAUAUGAAUGAACAUUAAGUGUCUGCUGUUUUAAGACUAAAGAGUAGCUUUAUUUACAUCAUAUGAGGUUUUUUGAGCUAAAUUGAUCAGCUUUGUAUGCUUAUGAAAUAAAUAUGUACACCUAUA